rnacentral:lncRNA from 1 species
AUAAAAAGCACACCGAGAUUUACGUGGAAAAACUCCAACUUAGAGAAAAACCCACGGGACCAACACGCGAAAAAAUAAUUCACUAAGAGAAAAGAUUACAAGGUGAUUACCGACUCCACGGACUCAACCUCUCUUAACCUCCUAUGAAUCUCGCGCAAUCCUCCGGGUUGUCCACGCCCUCACGUUCGAAUCCACGAACGCCUCCACUUCGAAUCCACGAAGCUUCAAUCACGCCGAAUCCACGACGCCACUCGAAUCCACGAGCCCACGAUCCGAAUCCACGAACCACCUUCGUUCAUGCCGAAUCCACGAU